CAUUUAUUGAAAAGACUAUCCUUUCCCCAUUGUGUAUUUCUGGUGCCUUCCUUGAAAAUUAGUUGACCAUAUGUGUGUGGAUUUAAAGUUUUGUCAAUUCUUUUCCUGUUAAAGAAAGAAGAAAAUGUUGGUUAAGUUUAAAGCUUAUUUAAUAGUAAAAUGGAGCCCGUAGACUUUCUCCUGCUCUGCAGGUACUGAGUUAGGUCCCUUGGUUUCUCCUGCCUCUAACAUAAGUAGUAGAGAUGGAGAGGAUUUCCACUUGAAGUUUUGAGCUAUCAAAGAGAGCACUGCUCUGGGCAACCAUGCUGUCCUGGGCCACUUCUUGGCACCUUUCCUACUGUGUACCUAAGCUGACUCAAAACACCCCUAUGCUCUCCUCCAGGUGCAGGUACCAGACCUUGAAGCCAUUACCAAAACUUGUGGAUUAAUUGGUAAGGAGCUUGUGAUUCUCUUCGUCUCCCUCAAGACUCAUUCACCUGAGUAGGGCUGUAGAGUGAAACCCCUUUGCUACUCCAGCAUUGCCAAUACCCCGUUUUGUCUAGAAUGCACCCCUCCUGUCUAACCUUGAUGGAUUCUUUAGGAAGUAUUAUAAGAUAAAACUCUGGUGUUUUCAGGUUGUGUCCUUGGAUUCCUUCUGAGUGUCCCCUCUCAUGGGUUGAGUCUCCUACUGGGCCACUCUACCACCAGCAUACACCAUUUAACCGAGCAGAGCAGAUUUCUGUCCAGGACCGAGUCUAGGACAGUGGGAGGUUAGAAUGAGAGAACACCAUUUAUUUCAUCUUUCACUCACUUACACGUUCCUUAAUCAUAUAGUCACUCAUUCAAGAAGCAUUAAUUGAAUAUUUACUAUGCACUAGUUAUUUUGCUGCCAUGACCAGUGAGGUACAGUGAUGAACACGACAGCAGAGUCUCUGACCUGAGUGAAAAAGCUGGAGAGACACAUUACAUAAGUGAUGAACAAAUUAAGAAGGUCACAAGUUGUGGGGACACGCUGAAGAAAUCAGCAAGAUCUUGAAGAAAAGCAACCUGGAAGAGGACACUUCAGGCAAGGUGGUCCAGGAAUGCUCUGAAUGAAUUAGUAACGUCUGAGCUGAGACAUAAAGAUGAAGAGGGGGGAGCCGUAUGAAGACCUGAGGAAGAGCAUCUCCUAGAGAGGAAGCUGACGGAAAUGCUGACAGAUGGCAAAGAACCUGGAACACUUUGUUGGACUGGGCAGGCCAGACCAUCCUCAGCUUUGUGGCAUGUGUAAGUGAAAUUUUAUCCCAAGAACAGUGGGAAGACAUCGAAUGGUUUGGAGCUGCAGGAGAGACAUGAUCAGAUUUAUGUACUAAAAAGAGAGCUCUGGCUGCUGUAUAGAGAACAGAUUCUAGGUACACCUGGGGAUUCCAGUUUAAAGCUAGAGUCAUCUGGACAGGAGAUAAUGGUGAAGACAAUGACAGUGGAGAGCUGGGGGCAUGCCCAAGGACGUUUUUGGACCUAGAACGGACCUUGCUGAAGGACUGGCUAUUGAAGAGUGAGAAAGGAAGGAUGCCAGAUUGACUCCUGCGACCUGUUCUUGAAAGGCUGGGCAGGCAGCAAGGCCAGUUUCUGGACGGAGCGAACUGAAGGAGGCUGUCCCCGGGGUCUCUCCCUGGCGCCCUGUGGGCUGAUGGAGUGCAGAUGGGAAUGUGGGUCUGCAAGUGUGCUCCCGUCACUUUGGUGAUAGGAAACACCAGUGGCCAACUUGGCCUCGUCCUCUCCUGCAACUCUCCUAAUGACUCCAUGAGGGGGUCCUAUCAUACCCUGAGACAGAAAACAGAUCUGCCCUGGCUUCCACGGCGACGCCGCACGCACCUGCCCUCAGGAUGCGGUGCACCCGAGGACUGCUUCACCCGGGCUCGUGGGUCUAGUGUCACCCUGCACCGGUUAGUGUCUCUCUGGGACGCAGCUUUGUUGCAGAGCAGGCGGAAGCCAGGACUCACAGGUCUGUCGUGCAGGUGAUGUGAAAUUUAGAUUAAUGAGUCCAGUGACAGGAGAGUCUUUUGGAAACUCCCAGGAGGUCCAAAGUGAGACACAAGCAUCAGAAAGUUCCCCCUUGCUGGAGAUGCACCUGCUGCAUAUUUUUUAGCUCUGUUCCGCCAAAAAGAGACUUAACCCAGAAAAGCUGAGUACUGCUGAGGUUGAAUGAUGAACGGUGUAGUGACUAAGACUGGAGGCUAGAACACAGGCCUGCGGCAAGAUUCUUGCUCUGAAAGUCCAUGGAAACAGCUUAAUGAGUUCUGUGUGUUUUUGCAUGGGAAGCAGGUGUCUCAGCUCCAAGAUCUCUCAAGCCAUGGAGGCAAGCCCUCGUGUUUACAGGCAGCCCAACACCGUUCAGAACCUCCUUCCUACGUGAAAGCUGCUGGUGGGUAAAGCACUGAAUGCCGCCUCUCACAAGAGAGGAGAGUGAAUGGAUCCUUGGUUUGGCAUCUCAUCAAGAAGUGGUGCUAACAGACUCAUCUCCAGUUGGGGGCUCUUGACUAAAAUUCAUAUGGAAGUAAAUAAUUCUGGCCACUUCAGGAGAGGCGGUUGCCCACCCUCUCCUUUCCUCUGCAGUUAAGUUCCCUGACCUACCUCUCCUUUACUAAGCAAUCAUCCUCUUCUGUGUUGGAACUCAGGGGUCAUCUACAAGCUUCUUUAUUAUUGUCGUUGUUGUUUGUUUGAGGUCAUGACCAGAGCCCAAGUCAGAGGCUUAACGCCUGAGACACACAAGCACCCCAAAACUAGCAAACAGUAUUGAGUAGACCUAACAGUGGAGGGGAUGGUGAUGAAUUGAAAGAGGGCCCCACCAGAAGACGACCUUCAGACAAAUCCCCAGCCAUUCCAUCAUCAGAGGGAAGGGCAUUUCAGACAAAGGGAAUGGCGAGUACAAAGAUAAAAGUGUGACAAAAGGCUUGGCCUAUUUUCCAUCUCAGGCUGAGUUUUAGGAUCCAGAUCAUGCAUAGUCUGGUGGGCCAGGAGCUUACUCUUUUAACAAUGGGUAAGCAGGAACUAUUUCAGUAGGGAGAGAUAGGAUCGAAAUGUUUUAAAAAAUUCUCAUCCUAGUUGGUAUGUAGAGGGGAAAAAAAAAAAAAGAAGGUAAGAGUCUUAAAGAAGAAACCAGUGAGAAGGCAGCUGUAGUAAACUAUGUCCCAGAAGGUGGCUAGGGAGAUCAAAAGAGGUAGACUAAUUUGGUAUAUACUUUGGAUUGUAAAAGUAUAUGGAGCAUAUAGAGUAUGUAAACACCUGACAGUUAAUCAUCAAAUACCUACAGGAAGUUGAGGAAAAGGUGGGAGGCGGGAGGUGAUUAGAGAUAGUUUCCAAACUGUGUGCUUGAGUAAAUAAGUGGAUGCUGCAUAACAUGGUACUAUUAUAUACAUGGGAUCAGUGGUGGAAAGAAAUCUUUUACAAUUAUUAAAUAUGAGUCACCUAUCAGACACCAAGUUGAGAUAUUAAAGACACAAAUGGUAUUGGAGUUGGGAGUGGGAGAUAUGGAAUAGUGGGAAAUACGAACUUGAAAAUAUCAGUAGAAGUAAAGAAUCCAGAGAGGUUAUUAAAGAUGGAAAGUGGCAGUGUGUUUCUAUACUGAUGGAAAUAAUCCGGGAAAAAGAGAAAAGAGAAAUUGAACGUGCCUGCCAUAGACAGGCAUGUCUAUUUCUAUUUCAGUUUUUACUGAAAAACUGCAGUCCUAAGAAAACACUGGGAGACAGUAUAGAACAUACCUUAGAAGUAUUCCAACUAAGGUGUGCGUAAGCUGGAAAAUUUAUUCACCAACUUCCAUCAGUUGCUGGUUGAGGAGUGCUCUCAAGAGGUGGGGGAUGGGUGGGCAGUAAUUCCACAGCAUUUCUGGCCUUCCCUGCAUGUAUGCUAAGCCAAUUCUGGUGAGCAGAGAAAGCCAUCAGGCAGACUCCUAAGUGCUUUCAGUUAGAAGCCAUUGGAUUGGCAUAUACAGGAAUGGUGAGUCUCAAAACUAUAUGGGAGGGCG